AACGAACGCUGGCGGCAGGCUUAACACAUGCAAGUCGAACGCCCCGCAAGGGGAGGGGCAGACGGGUGAGUAACGCGUGGGAACAUACCCUUUCCUGCGGAAUGGCUCUGGGACACUGGAAUUAAUACCGCAUACGCGCUACGGGGGAAAGAUUUAUCGGGGAAGGAUUGGCCAGCGUUGGAUUAGCUAGUUGGUGGGGUAAAGGCCUAACAAGGCGACGAUCCAUAGCUGGGCUGAGAGGAUGAUCAGCCACAUUGGGACUGAGACACGGCCCAAACUCCUACGGGAGGCAGCAGUGGGGAAUAUUGGACAAUGGGCGCAAGCCUGAUCCAGCCAUGCCGCGUGAGUGAUGAAGGCCUUAGGGUUGUAAAGCUCUUUCACCGAUGAAGAUAAUGACGGUAGUCGGAGAAGAAGCCCCGGCUAACUUCGUGCCAGCCGCCGCCGUAAGAC
rnacentral:rRNA from 1 species